GACGAACGCUGGCGGCGUGCCUAACACAUGCAAGUCGAACGAGACCUUCGGGCCUAGUGGCGCAAGGGUGCGUAACGCGUGGGAACCUGCCCUUAGGUUCGGAGUAACUCCCCGACAGGGGUGCUAUAAUCGCAUAAUGUCUUCGCGCCAAAGAGUUAUCGCCUUUGGUUGGGACAGGGUGGGAUUAGCGAGUUGGUAGGGUAAAAGGCUAACAAGGUGACGGUCCAUAGCUGGUCAGAGAGGAUGAGCAGCCACACUGGGACUGAGACACGGCGCAGACUCCUACGGGAUGCAGCAGUGGGGGAUAGUGGAAAGUGGGCGAGAGGCUGAUACAGCAAGGCCGCGUGAGGGAUGAAGGCCUGAUGGUUGGAAAGCUCGUUUACCCGCGAUGAGAAUGACGGUACCGGGAGAAGAAGCUCCGGCUAACUCCGUG
rnacentral:rRNA from 1 species